CCUGCGGAGGGAUCAUUACCGAGUUUACAACUCCCAAACCCCUGUGAACAUACCUAUACGUUGCCUCGGCGGAUCAGCCCGCGCCCCGUAAAACGGGACGGCCCGCCCGAGGACCCCUAAACUCUGUUUUUAGUGGAACUUCUGAGUAAAACAAACAAAUAAAUCAAAACUUUCAACAACGGAUCUCUUGGUUCUGGCAUCGAUGAAGAACGCAGCAAAAUGCGAUAAGUAAUGUGAAUUGCAGAAUUCAGUGAAUCAUCGAAUCUUUGAACGCACAUUGCGCCCGCCAGUAUUCUGGCGGGCAUGCCUGUUCGAGCGUCAUUUCAACCCUCAAGCUCAGCUUGGUGUUGGGACUCGCGGUAACCCGCGUUCCCCAAAUCGAUUGGCGGUCACGUCGAGCUUCCAUAGCGUAGUAAUCAUACACCUCGUUACUGGUAAUCGUCGCGGCCACGCCGUAAAACCCCAACUUCUGAAUGUUGACCUCGGAUCAGGUAGGAAUACCCGCUGAACUUAAGCAUAUCAAUAA
rnacentral:rRNA from 1 species